UCCAAUAAUAUAUAAUGUACUACUAUAUAAGGCAUACAUUGUACAGAUCUGGUCAGUUCGAUCUUUGUUGUUGUCAUAUAUAAAAACAAAUUAAAAUGAUAAGCAAAGCUUUCCCGACCUCUUCUUCUAUCAUAUGCUGCUUGUUGAUGAUUUCGAUUAUCAUGGUUUCACCUGUCCUGUCUGUGAGAAAGUUAUCCAUGGCUUCCGGCAGCUAUGACGCAUAUGGAAACCCUUUUCCACCAGUGGCUGUUAAAAUUGGGGUACCCCCAGUCCAUAUUGAACCAAGUCCUGGCACCGGCCAUUAAUUGAAUAAUUUUUUUAUUAUUUUUGAGAUGUGAGAGACUGUAUUAUGCAUGUUUUGGUUUAUAUAUGUAGCCAAACAGAAACUAAUAACGUGUCCAAUGUAUGCCACCAUGUUCUGUACCUCACUUUGAAUUUCCCUUUUAAUUCUUACGGUUUUUUUUUUCGAAC